GGCUGAGUGGCGCAAUGGUAGCGCGUUACUUUCCGGUUUCAACUUUCAGUUAAAUCUCCAGCUGGUAAAGGUUCUGGGUUCGAGUCCCAGCUUGGUCG